rnacentral:snRNA from 1 species
GAUUGUGUGGGUGGUCUGACAGCAACAUCUGUCACCCAUUGGCCCCAGACAUGACAUAGCUCAUUUGGCUGCCUAGUGUAGUGUUGCCUUCCUUCUUCACUGCUCCAUGCAUGGCCCUCUCAAAGCUGUGCCAAAUUAUUGGAGAUUUUAAAAACAACUCCAAUGGUUUUGAUCGAAGAGCUGAAAACUAGGUAUGAAAAAAUUCAACCAUAUUAGAGCUCUAGGCAAUUCUUUUAGGCUAAAGAGCUAGAAGAUUAUUCUAGAAAAUUCUAGAUAAUGAUAAACACCUUGUACAAUGAACCAGCUAUUGUUU